CUACGGGCGGCUCCAGUGGGGAAUUUUGCGCAAUGGGCGAAAGCCUGACGCAGCAACGCCGCGUGAGGGAUGAAGGCCUUCGGGUUGUAAACCUCUUUCGGGUGGGAAGAAAAAAAUGACGGUACCACCAGAAGAAGCCCCGGCUAACUCCGUGCCAGCAGCCGCGGUAAUACGGAGGGGGCAAGCGUUGUUCGGAAUUAUUGGGCGUAAAGCGUAUGUAGGCGGUCUGGCAAGUCAGACGUGUAAGCCCACGGCUCAACCGUGGAAUUGCGUUUGAAACUAUCAGGCUUGAGUUCGGAAGAGGAAAGCGGAAUUCCCAGUGUAGCGGUGAAAUACAUUGAUAUUGGGAAGAACAUCGGUGGCGAAGGCGGCUUUCUGGUCCGAUACUGACGCUGAGAUACGAAAGCCAGGGGAGCAAACGGGAUUAGAUACCCCCGUAGUC
rnacentral:rRNA from 1 species